AUGAAGCAAAGCUGAAGAUUAUUCAAAGGAAACUAUCUUAUUACAGUUUAAGAGAAAAACCCUAGUACAGGCAAGCUGUACAUCUCAUCAGCUGCCCAGAGGAAGAGAAUGGAGGGGGAAAGGAGGAAAAUGCCAUGUCAUUGAAGUCAAAUUGUCGUGCAGGUCCGUCACACAGCUGACAGGAAAUAGAAAUCUGAUAGAGGUGUUGAAGAAGAACUCCCUCAGAAGGCUAGCUAUAGAUAUCUGAAGAAGCAAGGAUGCAGACUGCAACUGGGAGCUUCGGGAAGGAGUGAAGCCAUCUUGACUAUCACUUGAAGACAGUUUGGGACACCUGACCUCCAGAACUACAAGGCAGUUUAAGCUGCUUCAUUCUGCUGAAGAUCCAAAUGCUGCUCUUUGCCCCUGCUUUAUGCUUGGGUUUAUCGAUAGAAGGUCAUCGACAGAUCGGGAGGUUAGCAUAUUGAUUCCCAAAGCACACUCGGUAGGUGGUGGAAAGAGAGCCAUGUCCACCUACUGGAGCCUGUAGCUACUCCAGUCAGCCUUCUGCAAUGAGU